rnacentral:ncRNA from 1 species
AAUGUGCAUUUAAGUUGUUGUAGUUAAAAAUCUCGUAGUUGGAUCUUGGAUCGUAAAGGUUGGUCCACCUACUUGGUGUGCACCUGCCCUUCCGCCCUUUUGUCGGUGGCGUGCUCCUGGAUUUAAUUGGCUGGGUCGCAGUUCCGACGUUGUUACUUUGAAAAAAAUAUAGUGCUCAAAGCAAGCUUAUGCUUUGAAUACAUUAGCAUGGAAUAAAGCGAUAGGAGUUUGGUCCUAUUGUGUUAUACUUCGAGACCAGAGUAAUGAUUAAUAGAGACUGUCAGGGGCAUUUGUAUUUCAUUGUCAGAGGUGGAAUUCUUGGAUUUAUGAAAGACGAACCACUGCGAAAGCAUUUGCCAAGGAUGUUUUCAUUAAUCAAGAACGAAAGUUGGGGGCUCGAAGACGAUCAUAUACCAUCCUAGUCUCAACCAUAAACGAUGCCAACUAGGGAUCAACGGAUGUUUCUCUAAGGACUCUGCCAACACCUUAUGAGAAAUCAAAGUGUUUGGGUUCUAGGGGGAGUAUGGUAGCAAGGAUGAAACUUAAAGGAAUUGACGGAAGGGCACCGCUAGGAGUGGAUCAUGCAGCUUAAUUUGACUCAACACGGGAAAACUUACGAGGUCCAGACAUAGUAAGGAUUGACAGAUUGAGAACUAUUUCUUGAUUCUAUGGGUGGUGGUACAUGGUCGUUCUUAGUUGGUGGAGCGAUUUGUCUGGUUAAUUCCGAUAAUGAACGAGACCUCAGCUUGCUAACUAGCUAC